ensembl:misc_RNA 7SK 7SK RNA
GGAUGUAAGGAUAAUCUGGCUGCCAUAUCUGUCACUCCAUUGAUUGACAGGGUGGAUUUGACUGAUCUGGCUAGCUUAGGUGGGUGUUGCCUUCCUGCCCCACUGCUCCAUGUCUGUCCAUCCUAAAGCUACGUGCUUGGUUGAAGAAGAUGACCCUCUGUGGCUAGAGGAAGAAUGGUCUCUGGUCAGGGGUAUCCAGGUAGCUGCAGUCCCCUGCUAGAACCUCCAGACAAGCUCCCAGGAAGGAACUCAUGUCGGGCUUUCGUGAUUCCCCUUGGGUCCAGCAUAGAAAGCUUAAAGAAUAAGAUCAGUCAAGAACGAAAAGAGACACAGCUGACCAAAAGCAGCCCUUGUCUGUAGGAUUCCUU